GAAAUGCGAUAAGUAAUGUGAAUUGCAGAAUUCCGUGAAUCAUCGAAUCUUUGAACGCGCAUUGCGCCCUCUGGCAUUCCGGGGGGCAUGCCUGUCCGAGCGUCAUUACGCACCCUCAAGCCCGGCUUGUGUGAUGGGCCCCGGCGUCUCGUUCGCGAGACGGGCCCGAAAGGCAGCGGCGGCGUCGACCCGAUGAGCCCGAGCGUAUGGGGACUUCUGUCACACGUUCGCGGUGCGGACCGGCGCCUGCUUGACUUUUCUGAUUAUCCAGGUUGACCUCGGAUCAGGUAGGGAUACCCGCUGAACUUAAGC
rnacentral:misc_RNA from 1 species